rnacentral:lncRNA from 1 species
CCUUUGCUCUUUGGCAGGCCCGUGUGCCUGGAGGUGGCAGACCCAGGCGGGACGUGCCCUGCGGCAGAGCCCUGAGAAGCGGGGAGAGAUCCCGCGGUUCAGACGCGCGGCUUCCCGGGACAGCUGCGAUGCACGGAGGGCUCGUGGUGCAAGCCGCCCUUGGGCAGCGGCCCGGUCUGGCUGAGCUCAGCGUUUGCAAACGAAGAGAUGCUGGGACGCAUUGGGAAGAAGAAGGACGCUCUGGCAGAUCAGAGCGGCCGAGAGAAUUCCGGUCUGUGUAUUUCCGUCGGUCCGCAGGUACGGCAGGCCCCGAACGGGGCAGCGCGCCCAGGCACGGCUCUGGAGCCACGUGUGCCGGCGGAUGCUCCUUCUGCUGAGGACAGGCAAUGGGUGGAACCGAGCGGUGGGUUGGGAGGGCUGAAAAGCGUCGGAACAAAGGAAGAGAGUGAAGAUGAAGAUGGAUGGAAAAGUGCAGUGUGAAGCAGAGGCUGUGCUUCCAAGUAGUGCUGUCGCAAAGCCCGGCAACGUCCGUAGACAAGCUCUGCUGCCCUACAUCAAGUGCAAGAGGGUGAAAGCGCGCCGGUGUGCUGUGGGGAGGAUUGCCAGACUGAGCCGGGUCCUGGUCACCCCUGCUCUGAUGGAGAGCUCGUCUGAACAGAGUAAAAACAGGGACGGCGUUUCCUGCUCAGAAGACAAGUGUGAGACGCUGCUGGGGCAGCUGUUGGGGCACCUGACCCUGUGCCGUGCCGAGGUGGACCAGGAGAUCCGCCAUGGGUCUGAGGAGGCUCUGCGUGCCAUCCACAGCGUCUUCGUAGCUCGAGAGAGUUACUCGGUGGCACGUGCCGGUCAAAGUCUGUAUGCGGAGGGGGAAUGGCGGCCCUGCUUCCGGCCCUACUAUCUUUUUGAGGAGAAAAUGGUGCCUGAGAUCCUGCGGAGCAUCUAUGAACACCUGAUGUUGCUCAGCAAGGAGUCGCUCCGGGACAUCGUGAUCCGGACCCUUUUCCAGAUCACACCCUUGGACCCCCAGUGUGUGGUCAGGGCCAUGCUGCGUGACAUCCCAUGGUGUGACAGGCUUUCCACAACCAUGUGGCAGACGAUGGUCUCCGAGCCCAGCCUUGCAAAGCAGGUGGUGUACAACCUGCUGAUGCAGCGGCCACAGACCAAGCACGAUGGCUUUGGCCCAGGCCGCAACUGCGUCCAUCACCUGCAUAUAAUCCGUGCCUUGCACG